rnacentral:rRNA from 1 species
UACAGAGGUCUCAAGCGUUGUUCGGAAUUACUGGGCGUAAAGGGCGCGUAGGCGGCCUUCUAAGUCGAACGUGAAAUCCCUGGGCUCAACCCAGGAACUGCGUCCGAUACUGGAAGGCUUGAAUCCGGGAGAGGGAUGCGGAAUUCCAGGUGUAGCGGUGAGAUGCGUAGAUAUCUGGAGGAACACCGGUGGCGAAGGCAGCUCGCUGGGACGGUACUGACGCUGAGACGCGAAAGCGUGGGGAGCAAACAGG